UAGAAUAAUAGGUUAGUGUUGAUUAUAGAUCAGGUUUAUCCUGCGAGGCUUAGAAAACAAAAAGCACGAGCCUUGGCGGAGUUAUUGGAACCGUUCGAUCGGCGAUUUCGGGACAUAUAAAGGAGUUAUCGAAUCCACUCGAUAGGCGAUGUCGGUAAACAUAGCGAAGUUAACGAAGCGACUUGAUAGGCGAUGUAGGUACACAUAGCGGAGAUAUCAAAACCAACAGAUAGGCGAUGAAGGUACAUAGAGCGGGGGUAUCGAAACCUGUCGAUAGACGAUGUAGGUACAUAUAACGGAAUUAACGUAACUACUUAAUAGGCGAUCUAGGUAUACAUGUCGGAGUUCUUGGAAUCACUUGAUACAUCAUGUUAAAGGUAAAAGUAAAGUCGACGUCAUGCUUGGAGGGAAUGAACACAAUUUUGCAGAACUAUUCCCUUUAAAGGCGUUCUUUUUGGAAUUGGACAGGAAUUGCCUUAUUGGUUCUGAAAUUGAUAUUGCACAUUUGACGGUACACGGCAUCAGCAGCUGCUGCUGGCAAGUCAGAUACAAUUUCCAAACGUGAACGAAAGGCAGCAGCCCAAUUAUCUUUGUUUCACAGAUGUCUUGAAAUGUCCUCUGAAAGUCAAGAGUCCUAACAGCCAAUACAGCAUGACCGCUUUUUCCUUAAUACAUUUUGUCGGCUAAACAAAACAAGCAGUGUUCUUGAAAAAAAUAAAUGAAUCAAGUUUGGAUCUUGAUGCCCUUCAUUCAGAUUGUUGGUUCUUCUGUUAUUCAUCCUGGAUUAUUAUAUUUUGAUAACAAUAC